GGCGAAAGCCUGACGGAGCAAUACCGCGUGAGGGAGGAAGGCUCUUGGGUCGUAAACCUCUUUUCUCAGGGAAGAACACAAUGACGGUACCUGAGGAAUAAGCAUCGGCUAACUCCGUGCCAGCAGCCGCGGUAAUACGGAGGAUGCAAGCGUUAUCCGGAAUGAUUGGGCGUAAAGCGUCCGCAGGUGGCAAUGUAAGUCUGCUGUUAAAGAGCCUAGCUCAACUAGAUAAAAGCAGUGGAAACUACAUAGCUAGAGUACGUUCGGGGCAGAGGGAAUUCCUGGUGUAGCGGUGAAAUGCGUAGAGAUCAGGAAGAACACCGGUGGCGAAGGCGCUCUGCUAGGCCGUAACUGACACUGAGGGACGAAAGCUAGGGGAGCGAAUGGGAUUAGAUACCCCAGUAGUCCUAGCCGUAAGCGAUGGAUACUAGGCGUGGCUUGUAUCGACCCGAGCCGUGCCGUAGCUAACGCGUUAAGUAUCCCGCCUGGGGAGUACGCCGGCAACGGUGAAACUCAAAGGAAUUGACGGGGGCCCGCACAAGCGGUGGAGUAUGUGGUUUAAUUCGAUGCAACGCGAAGAACCUUACCAAGGCUUGACAUGUCGCGAAUCCUGGUGAAAGCUGGGAGUGCCUUCGGGAGCGCGAACACAGGUGGUGCAUGGCUGUCGUCAGCUCGUGUCGUGAGAUGUUGGGUUAAGUCCCGCAACGAGCGCAACCCUCGUUUUUAGUUGCCAGCAUUAAGUUGGGCACUCUAGAGAGACUGCCGGUGACAAACCGGAGGAAGGUGGGGAUGACGUCAAGUCAGCAUGCCCCUUACGCCUUGGGCUACACACGUACUACAAUGCUCCGGACAGAGGGCAGCAAGCAUGCGAAUGCAAGCAAAUCCCGUAAACCGGAGCUCAGUUCAGAUCGCAGGCUGCAACUCGCCUGCGUGAAGGAGGAAUCGCUAGUAAUUGCAGGUCAGCAUACUGCAGUGAAUUCGUUCCCGGGCAUUGUACACACCGCCCGUCACACCAUGGAAGCUGGUAGUGCCCGAAGUCAUUACUCCAACCUUUCGGGGAGGAGGAUGCCUAAGGCAGGACUGGUGACUGGGGUGAAGUCGUAACAAGGUAGCCGUACCGGAAGGUGUGGCUGGAUCACCUCCUUU
rnacentral:rRNA from 1 species